UACGUAGGGUGCGAGCGUUAAUCGGAAUUACUGGGCGUAAAGCGUGCGCAGGCGGUUUUGUAAGCCAGAUGUGAAAUCCCCGGGCUCAACCUGGGAAUGGCAUUUGGGACUGCAAGGCUUGAGUUUGGCAGAGGAGACUGGAAUUCCUGGUGUAGCAGUGAAAUGCGUAGAUAUCAGGAGGAAUACCGAUGGCGAAGGCAGGUCUCUGGGCUAGAACUGACGCUCAUGCACGAAAGCGUGGGGAGCAAACAGG
rnacentral:rRNA from 1 species